AACGAACGCUGGCGGCGUGGAUAAGACAUGCAAGUCGAGCGCUGAUUUCAGGGUAGCAAUAUUCUGAGGUCGGAGCGGCGCAAGGGUGCGUAACACGUGGGUAAUCUGCCAUGAAGUUCGGGAUAACUUGCUGAAAGGCGAGCUAAUACCGGAUGUGACAAUUGGAAGGCAUCUUCUGAUUGUUAAAGUUGGGGACCGUAAGGCCUGACGCUUCUUGAUGAACCCCGCGGCCUAUCAGCUAGUUGGUGAGGUAACGGCUCACCAAGGCUAAGACGGGUAGCUGGGUCUGAGAGGACGACCAGCCACACUGGAACUGAGACACGGUCCAGACACCUACGGGUGGCGGCAGUCGAGAAUUUUUUCACAAUGGGCGCAAGCCUGAUGGGAGCGACGCCGCGUGGGGGAUGAAUGGGCUUCGGGCCCGUAAACCCCUGUCAUUUUGCGACCAAACCUUAUAUUUAAAAAGAUGAUGAGCUGAUAGUAGCGAAAAGAGGGAAAGGGACGGG
rnacentral:rRNA from 1 species